rnacentral:rRNA from 1 species
GGCUCAGGAUGAACGCUAGCGGGAGGCCUAACACAUGCAAGCCGAGCGGUAGAGAUUCUUCGGAAUCUUGAGAGCGGCGUACGGGUGCGGAACACGUGUGCAACCUACCUUUAUCAGGGGGAUAGCCUUUCGAAAGGAAGAUUAAUACCCCAUAAUAUAUUUGAUGGCAUCAUUAGAUAUUGAAAACUCCGGUGGAUAGAGAUGGGCACGCGCAAGAUUAGAUAGUUGGUGAGGUAACGGCUCACCAAGUCCAUGAUCUUUAGGGGGCCUGAGAGGGUGAUCCCCCACACUGGUACUGAGACACGGACCAGACUCCUACGGGAGGCAGCAGUGAGGAAUAUUGGACAAUGGGUGAGAGCCUGAUCCAGCCAUCCCGCGUGAAGGACGACGGCCCUAUGGGUUGUAAACUUCUUUUGUAUAGGGA